AUUCUUAUGGAAGCAUUUCUGUACAAACUAGAUUAUGAAUAUCAGUGUGCCAAAAAAAUGCUUCUGCUAUAUC
rnacentral:pre_miRNA from 1 species